CCCCCACCCUUUGUUGUCUGUUGCUCAGUUGUGUCCAACUGUUUACGACCCCAAGGAUUGCAGCAGGCCAGGCUUCCCUGUCCUUCACCAUCUCCCUGAGCUUGCUCAAACUCGUGUCCAUUGAAUCGGUGAUGCCAACUUAUCAUCUAGUCUUUUAUUCAGCAAGACCUCAAGGUUGCAAAGGAUACAUCUGUGAGACUGCACCAUGAAUUGGAAAAUGUGGAAGAAAAGCGAACAACAAUGGAAGAUGAAAAUGAGAAACUGAGGCAACAGCUCAUAGAAGUUGAGAUAGCAAAGCAAGCAUUGCAGAAUGAACUGGAAAAAACGAAGGAGAUGAAGAAACUUGAAGCUGAAAGUUUGUCCAUGGUCUUCUUGGGGAUGCAAACUCAGGUCUACCUUCAGAAUUGUUGGAUAUUGCAAAGCAACUGGAAAGCUCUCUUUAGAAGACAACAAAUGUAGAAAGGCUGGUUUCAAGGUCCAACUCCGCUUUGCACAUACUCUCUGCCCAAAUCUGGGUAAGUCUCUGAGGAUGGAUCCUCUUUAUGGGAUGGAGCCUUUUACUUUCUCUAGGUUUGUUA
ensembl:lncRNA